rnacentral:rRNA from 1 species
GAUGAACGCUGGCGGCGUGCUUAACACAUGCAAGUCGAACGGAAAGGCCCAAGCUUGCUUGGGUACUCGAGUGGCGAACGGGUGAGUAACACGUGGGUGAUCUGCCCUGCACUUCGGGAUAAGCCUGGGAAACUGGGUCUAAUACCGGAUAGGACGAUGGUUUGGAUGCCAUUGUGGAAAGUUUUUUCGGUGUGGGAUGAGCUCGCGGCUUAUCAGCUUGUUGGUGGGGUAAUGGCCUACCAAGGCGUCGACGGGUAGCCGGCCUGAGAGGGUGUACGGCCACAUUGGGACUGAGAUACGGCCCAGACUCCUACGGGAGGCAGCAGUGGGGAAUAUUGCACAAUGGGCGCAAGCCUGAUGCAGCGACGCCGCGUGGGGGAUGACGGCCUUCGGGUUGUAAACUCCUUUCGCUAGGGACGAAGCGUUUUUGUGACGGUACCUGGAGAAGAAGCACCGGCUAACUACGUG